AAGCGAAACAAGAAAAUGCAACUACUAAUGAACUCAAUGAAACUAUUUUUCUGAAACAUUUAAUUAGUAACGGAAAUAGCAUCGGUAAUUACAACUUAUUUCCCUAACUUUGGCGUCUGGAGACACAUGACACAUCUUAUGUUUAUAGAGAUGAACCCAUAAAGCAAAUAGUACUCUUACUCAAAAACAUGCCAAUACAGCGUCCAGAAACUCCAAAAGUAUAUUUAAAGAAAUCAUAUCAAUCAUAAUCUUCAACUUUUCAAUUUAAUCACAACCUGAGCCUCUUUAGUUGAACACAGCAUUGGUCUAAUGAGAUGACAGUAUGAGUUUUAAGACUCAUUUUUUUUGUUCAAUGCAAAGAGCUGCGUUUCCUUUUGGCUUGAAAUAGUCUUGGGUUAAUAAGAAAUAAAUAAAACCGGCUGUGAGCAUUUCCUGUGGUUUGGGUUAAGCUCAGACAUUGCAUGUCUCCAUAUUAAUAAGUAUUAGGCGAGUAUACAAAUACUACUAGUACUCGUAUCAGUUUGUAAAAAAAAAAAAAAUAGUGUCAGGACAAACCUAGUUUUUCUUUUCCUUGGCAGAGAUUUUUCCAACUAGUAAAAGAAAAAAAUGCAUUUAUAAAAAUCAUUAGAGUUUUGAAUUUAGAAAUGUCAGAGUUGCUGUGGACCAGUAUAAAACCAUCACUGGUCCUGGCAGCACACGUACGUACACACGUAGAGCCUUUAGGAGCUGAAUGUCAAACACAUUUAUAGCUGCUAACAAAUUGUGCCAACUACGCAGAUGUGGUCAACAACAAUCUGACAGCACCCUGUGUCACCUAUUAUAACUUAUUCUGCUCAGUGACUAAACAUUCCUGCGAUGUUAGUCAGUGUGAGGAACAGCGCAGCUCGCACACUGACCACUCUCACUGGUCCGAGCUGCCACACACCAGGAAACAAUGCGCUCCUGGCUCUAACCAGAGAAAAGUGAACCCUGCUGUGGUUUGUUUUUCUCAACAGAAAUCCAAUCACCCACAGUACGUCAACAGAGUGGUUGUCAAACCUCGGAUGCUACAAACCAGCUUUACUCGAAAGGAAACGGCAUUCUGUGAGGCUCAUUGUAACUGUAUCCUCACAGCAGAGGCUGGUUGGGUGUGUAUAAAUAGCACACUGGGGAGGGACAGCGGCUCGCAGUGCAGCUGACUCAACACAUUCUACUUUGGUUAACAGAGAAGUCCCCGUGUUUGCCCAUAGGCGGCGCCAAUCCAUCAAGCCAUGGCUUUCUUUUUACUUUGAAGCUAGUGUGGAAGUCGGUAUCUGACUAACAAUCUGAGCUCCGUGGCUUUGUAAUAAAGAAGUCUGCAGAGAUAAGACGACUGCCAACAUAGAUACACGCCACACGGACGAUGAACUGACACAAGGGGGCGCUUCUACUGCCCCACAGUUGAAGUGUUGUCCUGGAGAAACUGCCCCGACUGCCCAUGCUUUUCGUAGACACAGCGGAUAAGGACACGUCUUGUCAACAUCGAGAGACACUUCAGAUGAAGACGAGGUA